CUUCUAUCCAGAGCAGCGGAGGGAACGGCCCGAUGAAGCUGCGGCAACCUGCGGGGGCAAUCGCCCAUUACCGAGAAACCCCCGCGCUUGGUGCCAAAUCCGCCCCGGUGUCGCUAGGCACAGCAAAGGCACCAGGGGAAAGAUGGAAG
rnacentral:ncRNA from 2 species